UCAUAUAUGCCAAAAAUUGUGACGGUUUGAGCCUAAAAGGUAAUAUAGUCACUUGUCUAACUAAGUUUUUUCUUAAUGAAUUUUUUAGAACCAAGAACUAUUUUUUUUUUGUUUUUAGUUUUGUGAUUUGCAUGCAUAAGGAAUGAUAUCUCUACUUUCGUUAGACAAACUGCCAGAAGCUAAUUAGUAUAUAAUGAAAAUAAAAUGAAUUAUGAGUUCCUCUUCUAGGCAAAAAAAAAU
rnacentral:lncRNA from 1 species